AUCCUUUUGCAGUGGCAGUAUCCUAGCCUAUGAAGUGUAUCCGAGGCGUGAUCAUUGCUGGUUGAAAACUUAACCCAAUACCCCGUCAUGACGACUUGAAAUAAAGUCAGAAAUGGCAAUUUUAGACGGUUUCAAAGGAGA